rnacentral:rRNA from 1 species
ACAUUGAGACACUUGUUCCCAUACAAUCACUGAAGUUAAGCAGCAUCAAGCCUGGUCAGUACCUAGAUGGGUGACUGCUUGGGAAUACCAGGUGCUGUAAG